UGUUGAAAACUUGAACCUAUGCUAUCACCGAAACAAAAUUUCAAGGAGUUCAAAUCAGGAAAAAGCAAGCAUAGUUGAGCGAUCAGUCUUUCUAUUCGGCCAGGCUAUCAUAAUUCGAGCUUCUGCCAAUAUAUGGAUGUUAAUGGAGAAGCACAAGUCAGAUAUGAAGUGCUUCCAUGUAAUGAAGGAAAGAACUUUGUUUUUAAGAAGAUGCCACCAAAAGUAACUGAUAAUUCUUUCGCACCAGACCAUGUAAGAGUUGCCCUUGCAAACCUGUACUAAUUGUGAAUGUGGAAAAACGUUCUAAAAUAUCAAAGAGAAGGCACAUCAAUAACCUCUCCUUUAUCUUCUACAAGAAAAUGCCAGCUGGAAAGAGCUUAUGUCAUGCAUGCAGCAAGCUAGAUUCUUUUAGCUUCAUGGUUUUUGCACGCAGCCUUACCAUGAAUGCAGGAUUUGCUUUGAGUCUCUGCUUCACAUAUGAAGUUCGAACUGUUGAGUUCCAUGAAUUUAUUUGUUAAAACAAUGCAGAACAAGGGAGGAGAACUCAGAAGUCGAAUGAUAAUUCUGAGAGGAAGGAAUGCAAUGUAUAGCCGAUGUUGAAUUCUUACCGAAAAGGAUAUCAGAUUGCAAUUCGUUUUUCCAGUGUAUACACAGUGUAUACAGAGUGUAGUU
rnacentral:lncRNA from 1 species